rnacentral:rRNA from 1 species
GUGGGGAAUAUUCCGCAAUGGACGAAAGUCUGACGGAGCAACGCCGCGUGAGUGAUGAAGGUUUUCGGACUGUAAAGCUCUGUUGUUUAGGACGAAAGUGCCUGUUGCGAAUAGUUACAGGUAUUGACGGUACUGAACGAGGAAGCCACGGCUAACUACGUGCCAGCAGCCGCGGUAAUACGUAGGUGGCAAGCGUUGUCCGGAAUUAUUGGGCGUAAAGAGCAUGUAGGCGGGAAUCUAAGUCUGUUGUGAAAAUGCGGGGCUCAACCCCGUAUUGCGAUGGAAACUGGGUUGCUUGAGUGCAGGAGAGGAAAGGGGAAUUCCCAGUGUAGCGGUGAAAUGCGUAGAUAUUGGGAGGAACACCAGUGGCGAAGGCGCCUUUCUGGACUGUGUCUGACGCUGAGAUGCGAAAGCCAGGGUAGCGAACGGGAUUAGAUACCCUGGUAGUCC